AGAGUUUGAUCCUGGCUCAGAACGAACGCUGGCGGCACGCCUAACACAUGCAAGUCGAGCGUGAAAGGGACUUCUGUCCUGAAUAAAUCGGCGCACGGGUGAUUAACACCUGAAUAAUCUGCCCUUCUGACCAGAAUAACAGAUCCAAGGGACUGCUGAUACCAGAUAAUCCCACAAGUCUUCCGGCGCGUGCGAGAAAACUAAGGUAUCUUCCGGGCGCUAUGCGGAAGGAUGAGAUCACGUUCCAUUGAGAUAGUUGGUGAGGUAGUGGCCCACCAAGUCGACGAUGGAUAGCUGGUCUGAGAGGAUGAUCAGCCACACUGGAAAUGAGACACGGUCCAGACUCGUACGGGAGGCAGCAGUGGGGAAUCUUGCGCAAUGCAGCAAACCCUGAUGCAGCCAUACCGCGGGAGCGAUGAAGCCGUUAGGGUGGUAGAGGUAUGUAUACGGUGAGGAAUUACAUAUGUUACAAGAGGUCGUAAGCGUGACGCUAUCCUUAAAGAAAACACAGGGUAUAUCUGUGCCAGCACACGCGGCAUUACGGGGGGUGUACGAGUUGUUUGGAAUUAUUGGGGGUAAAGGGGGUGCAGGCGGUCAGAGCAAGUUGAAUAUGAAAUUCCCGAGGUUAACUUCGGAAGUGCGUUCAAGAAUGCGGUACUUGAAUACUGGAGAGGGUAAUGGAAUUUCUGGUGUAGAGGUGAAAUUGGUAGAGAUCAGGAGGAACCCUCGUGGGGAAGGGGACGACUUGGACCGAUAUUGACCAUGGGACUAGAAAGCGUGGGUAGCAAACAGCAUUAGAUACCCCGGUAGUCCUCCCCGCAAACGAUGGGUAGCAUGCACUGCGGGUAUGACCCCUGCGGCGCAGCAGCAAACGUACUAAGUACCCUCCCCGGGGAGUGCGGUCGCACGAUUAAAACUCAAAGGAAAAGACGGGGGCCCGCACACGCGGUGGAGCACGUGGUUUAAUUUGAAGAUACGCGAAGAACCCUACCAGGUCUUGACAUCUUGCCCCAACCCUACAGAUAGGGGGCUUCUUUUGGGAACGCAAUGACAGGUGGUGCAUGGUCGUCGUCAGCUCGUGUCGUGAGAUGUUGGGUUAAGUCCCGCAACGAGCGCAACCCUUGUCAUUAGUUGCCAGCAUUAAGUUGGGCCCUCUAGUGAGACUGCCGGGGGCAAACCGGAGGAAGGGGGGGGGGACGUCAGAUCAUCAUGCCCCCUAUGACUUGGGGUACCCCCGUGCUACAAUGGACGGUACAACGAGUCGGGAACUCGCGAGGGCAAGGUAAUUUUUUAAAACCGUUCUCAGUUCGGACUGCAGGCUGCAACUCGCCUGCACGAAGUCGGAAUCGCUAGUAAUCGCGGAUCAGCAUGCCGCGGUGAAUACGUUCCCGGGCCUUGCACUCACCGCCCGUCA
rnacentral:rRNA from 1 species